GUUUGCUAACCAAGUUAUUAUUAAGUAUGUUUGAAAGUGCAGGUUUAUGAAUGUCGGACUUUCGAAGUGUUGAUAAAGUAAUGAAAUGAUUGAAUGUUGGAAGGAUAAUCGGGUUGAAGUAACUUAAGCGGUUAGAAUAUGCUAUGGACGUUUUAGUUUAUACAAUAUUAUAUGUUUGGUCGUCACCAUCUACUAACAGGUAAAUCCUCAAUUUUGGCGACUUGGAGAAUCGGAGCGAGCGCGUGUUCAUGUUAUGCCAUACCAAACGCUUCCGCUAGCUUGUUCAAAUGUUUUUGAUCCAAAAUUUGUUGUAUUGGUUUUUAGUAGUAUCUUGUUGAACGAAUUGUAGAAUUGUAUCUAGUUUGUUUAUGUUUAAAACAGGGGUAUGCUCGUUUUAUGGACGGGUCAUGCCCGAUUUUUGUUAAAUUAUAGUAUGAUAAUAUCACAUUUAGGAAG